UAAAAGGCUGUUUUAGCAGCCAAACUGAUUCUAAAGAAGUGAAGAU
rfam:Xenopus tropicalis strain Nigerian Chr07_contig_2345, whole genome shotgun sequence.